rnacentral:rRNA from 1 species
CCUACGGGCGGCAGCAGUGAGGAAUAUUUGUCAAUGGACGAGAGUCUGAACCAGCCAAGUAGCGUGAAGGAUGACUGCCCUAUGGGUUGUAAACUUCUUUUAUAUGGGAAUAAAAUGUUCAACGUGUGGGAUUUUGUAUGUACCAUAUGAAUAAGGAUCGGCUAACUCCGUGCCAGCAGCCGCGGUAAUACGGAGGAUCCGAGCGUUAUCCGGAUUUAUUGGGUUUAAAGGGAGCGUAGGUGGAUUGUUAAGUCAGUUGUGAAAGUUUGCGGCUCAACCGUAAAAUUGCAGUUGAAACUGGCAGUCUUGAGUACAGUAGAGGUGGGCGGAAUUCGUGGUGUAGCGGUGAAAUGCUUAGAUAUCACGAAGAACUCCGAUUGCGAAGGCAGUUCACUGGACUGCAACUGACACUGAGGCUCGAAAGUGUGGGUAUCAAACAGGAUUAGAUACCCUUGUAGUC